rnacentral:lncRNA from 1 species
GAGAGUUUGGGGUUCCAGUCACAAGUCAGUGGCUGCUCAACCACUGUGCUCUUGAAUUGCCCAUAACUACCUGGCAGGGAAACUUACAUAGCAGGAGCCUGCACAGGAAGAGGAGCCAGCCUUGGUGAGAACUGACUCCAUAAGACCUCCUGUCUUUAUAGACAGACCAACAGGGAACCUUAACCCUGAUCAGAAAGCAAGAAACAGGAUUGGCUCCUAAAAUCCUAUGCUAAGUGGCCAGCUGGGUGGAAGGAACUUUCUGACGGAGAAAAUUCCCCGCUUCUUUACCCAUCUCUCCUCUUACUUGUGGUGCAACCUGAAGAAUUAUCAGAGGAGUGAUUCUGUCCUGGCACCUUCACUCUAAGCCUGGCAUUUUGGUUUAGAAAAUCUUCUAAGUCCUUGGUGCUUUGGGAGAAUCAGCUUAAACUCUUGAUGCUGUCAUGAUCAUUCAAGGCCUUUGGAUGUUCUCCAUCAAAAAAGGUCAGAAUAGCAAGAGGUAUUGACUCUUUAGGUCAAUUGGAG